AACGAACGCUGGCGGCAUGCCUAACACAUGCAAGUCGAACGAGACCUUCGGGUCUAGUGGCGCACGGGUGCGUAACGCGUGGGAACCUGCCCUUAGGUUCGGAAUAACUCCCCGAAAGGGGUGCUAAUACCGGAUAAUGUCUUCGGACCAAAGAUUUAUCGCCUUUGGAUGGGCCCGCGUUGGAUUAGCUAGUUGGUAGGGUAAAAGCCUACCAAGGCGACGAUCCAUAGCUGGUCUGAGAGGAUGAUCAGCCACACUGGGACUGAGACACGGCCCAGACUCCUACGGGAGGCAGCAGUGGGGAAUAUUGGAAAAUGGGCGAAAGCCUGAUCCAGCAAUGCCGCGUGAGUGAUGAAGGCCUUAGGGUUGGAAAGCUCUUUUACCCGGGAUGAUAAUGACAGUACCGGGAGAAUAAGCUCCGACUAACUCCGUG
rnacentral:rRNA from 1 species